rnacentral:rRNA from 1 species
AUCGAACGCUGGCGGCAGGCCUAACACAUGCAAGUCGAGCGAGCGGCGGACGGGUGAGUAAUGUAUGGGGCUCUGCCUGAUGGCGGGGGAUAACUACUGGAAACGGUAGCUAAUACCGAAUACCAUCAGAUGAACCUAUAUGGGAUUAGCUUGUGGGUGAGGUAACGGCUUACCUAGGCGAAGAGCCCUAGCUGGUCUGAGAGGAUGAUCAGCACCACGGGGACUGGGACACGGCCCAGACUCCUACGGGAGGCAGCAGAGGGGAAUAUUGCACAAGGGGCGCAAGCCUGAUGCAGCAAUGCCGCGUGGAUGAAGAAGGCCUUCGGGUUGUAAAGUACUUUCAGUCGGGAGGCGUUACCGACCGAAGAAGCACCGGCUAACUCCGUGCCAGCAGCCGCGGUAAUUC